rnacentral:rRNA from 1 species
AACGAACGCUGGCGGCAUGCCUAACACAUGCAAGUCGAACGAGACCUUCGGGUCUAGUGGCGCACGGGUGCGUAACGCGUGGGAACCCGCCUUUAGGUUCGGAAUAACUCAGAGAAAUUUGAGCUAAUACCGGAUGAUGUCUUCGGACCAAAGAUUUAUCGCCUUUAGAUGGGCCCGCGUUGGAUUAGCUAGUUGGUGGGGUAAAGGCCUACCAAGGCGACGAUCCAUAGCUGGUCUGAGAGGAUGAUCAGCCACACUGGGACUGAGACACGGCCCAGACUGCUACGGGAGGCAGCAGUGGGGAAUAUUGGAGAAGGGGCGAAAGCCUGAUCCAGCAAUGCCGCGUGAGUGAUGAAGGCCUUAGGGUUGUAAAGCUCUUUUACCCGAGAUGAUAAUGACAGUAUCGGGAGAAUAAGCGCCGGCUAACUCCGUG